rnacentral:lncRNA from 1 species
UAAGUGACCUAUAAUAACAGUAUUGUUAAGGAAUUAGAAAACAUUUAACUAUCUAAUAACCUUCUACCAUACUAUAGUGCUCGACCUUUAUACCUUAUUCUUUAGAAUCAUGGCCUUACUGUAAUUUGUAGGUGAUCCAUAUCUUAUCUAAUCAUAUCUCCCAAAACUUUUUCGGCAUACAUCUACCUCUCUUUAUACUCAUUAUAGGCUAUAGCAAACCUCUCCGACCUCAUCUUUCGUAUAUAUGCCUGAAUUUCAGUCUUGUUUUUCUCAUCUUGCUUAUCACUUCUACCUUGUCCUAAGUAGUUUAAUUUCUGAUCGUAUGUCGAUCUAUGUCCACAUACGCGUUCAUUUCAAUCUCUCAUCUUUAAUUUGAAACAUGCAAAUUUCUCGACUGACCAAUACUCUUAGCUUAUUCACCAUAACUGGUCUGAUCAUUAUUCUAUUAAACACUUGUUAAGGCUUGGCAAAUCAUUCUUGCUUCCAUUUCAUCUAGGUAAGAUCACUCUCAUAAGCUUUUACAAGUAUUUGAUGGCUACUAGAUUUUGCACAGUAUGAUUUACAAUCAUUGUAAAAUUAAAUUGCUCUAAAUUCCAAUUUAGAAUAUGUUGGCAUUGUCGGACCAAUAAUUGCUUAAAUUAAGCACUUGAAACUAUUGAUUACAGAAAAGUAGUAGUAACAUUUUCAUAUCCAUUGCCUUGAUACUUAGCUUGAUGUGCAAUGAAAUAGUAGAUCUUAGCCAAACUACAAUUGAUUCAAUACAAAUACAUAAAUUUCACUAAAUAACAAUAAAUACUUAUUCAAACCGAAUGCUAUUUACUUCAAUUAUUAUUAUUAUACUCCGAUUAUUCAAAGCAACUCUGCGAUCGUACCAAAGCUCGUCUACUCACCGUAUUUGAUGUAGGCGAAUCCAAGGUCUUGAGCAGCAACUGCUUCACUGCUGAUAUCAAUUCACCUGUCGGAUUGGGAGGCAAACUCUUUGCUCUGAAUUUCUUGCAAAAUGUCAUGUGUCGAUUCAAAGCUUCAUCUCUUCCAAUCCUUCUGGAUCUCACCAUUUCAUCCUUCACAGCCUCUGCACACAGUCCGCAUAUCCAUCGCCCUUCAUUCCGGUCCCGAACUCUCGCUAUGUAAGACUCUGUACAUUCCUCUGUCAAUCCACAACACGCGCACUUUACAAAUUGGAUCUCACUUUCCAUUCCACUCACCUCUUUCAAAUGCUACAAUUAAUUGAAUAGAUAUAAAUCAAUCUUCGAAAAGAAAUAUUAUCCCACUCGCCUUCUUCUUCAACAAUUUCUCCACCGCUGAUAAAUACCUUGAAUAUCAUAUACAUUUCACACCCUCCCUUGAUUGGCUUUUUUCUAAAUCACCUAAGACCAAACUGCAUACUUCAUCUCAUUGAUUUUG